GACGAACGCUGGCGGCGUGCCUAAUACAUGCAAGUAGAACGCUGAAGAGAGGAGCUUGCUCUUCUUGGAUGAGUUGCGAACGGGUGAGUAACGCGUAGGUAACCUGCCUGGUAGCGGGGGAUAACUAUUGGAAACGAUAGCUAAUACCGCAUGACAUUGAUUAUCGCAUGAUAAUUGAUUGAAAGAUGCAAUUGCAUCACUACCAGAUGGACCUGCGUUGUAUUAGCUAGUUGGUGAGGUAACGGCUCACCAAGGCGACGAUACAUAGCCGACCUGAGAGGGUGAUCGGCCACACUGGGACUGAGACACGGCCCAGACUCCUACGGGAGGCAGCAGUAGGGAAUCUUCGGCAAUGGGGGGAACCCUGACCGAGCAACGCCGCGUGAGUGAAGAAGGUUUUCGGAUCGUAAAGCUCUGUUGUAAGAGAAGAACGGGUGUGAGAGUGGAAAGUUCACACUGGACG
rnacentral:rRNA from 1 species